CAGUAGCCGCGGGAAUACGGAGGGGGCUAGCGUUGUUCGGAAUUACUGGGCGUAAAGCGCACGUAGGCGGCUUGGUAAGUUAGAGGUGAAAGCCCGGAGCUCAACUCCGGAAUUGCCUUUAAGACUGCCGAGCUAGUAGGUGAGAGAGGUAAGUGGAAUUCCGAGUGUAGAGGUGAAAUGCGUAGAGAUGUGGAGGAACACCAGUGGCGAAGGCGACUCUCUGGUCUGUAACUGACGCUGAGGAGCGAAAGCGUGGGGAGCGAACAGGAUUAGAUACCCCCGUAGUCCCUGUCUCUUAUAC
rnacentral:rRNA from 1 species